rnacentral:rRNA from 1 species
UUCUUCACUCUCAUAAGCGGAGGAAAAGAAACUAACAAGGAUUCCCCUAGUAACGGCGAGUGAAGCGGGAAGAGCUCAAAUUUGAAAUCUGGUGGCCUCAGGCUAUCCGAGUUGUAAUCUAUAGAAACAUUUUCCGCGUUGGCCCAUGUACAAGUCUCUUGGAAUAGAGCGUCAUAGAGGGUGAGAAUCCCGUCCUUGACAUGGACUACCAGUGCUUUGUGAUAUGUUUUCAACGAGUCGAGUUGUUUGGGAAUGCAGCUCAAAAUGGGUGGUAAAUUCCAUCUAAAGCUAAAUAUUGGCGAGAGACCGAUAGCGAACAAGUACCGUGAGGGAAAGAUGAAAAGCACUUUGGAAAGAGAGUUAAACAGUAUGUGAAAUUGUUGAAAGGGAAACGAUUGAAGUCAGUCGUGUCUAUUGGACUCAGCCGGUUCUGCCGGUGUACUUCCUUUAGAUGGGGUCAACAUCAGUUUUGAUCGCUGGAAAAAGGCAGGAGGAAUGUAGCACUCUCGGGUGAACUUAUAGCCUUCUGUCGCAUACAGUGGUUGGGACUGAGGAACGCAGCUUGCCUUUAUGUCCGGGAAUAU